UACGGGGGGGAGCAAGCGUUGUUCGGAUUUACUGGGCGUAAAGGGCGCGUAGGCGGUCAGCACAAGUCAGUUGUGAAAUCUCCGGGCUUAACUCGGAGAGGCCACCCAAUACUGCUGUGACUUGAGUCCGGUAGGGGAGUGGGGAAUUCCUGGUGUAGCGGUGAAAUGCGCAGAUAUCAGGAGGAACACCGGUGGCGAAGGCGGGUCUCUGGGCCGAUACUGACGCUGAGGAGCGAAAGCGUGGGGAGCGAACAGG
rnacentral:rRNA from 1 species